rnacentral:rRNA from 1 species
AGGACGAACGCUGGCGGCGUGCUUAACACAUGCAAGUCGAGCGGAAAGGCCCUUCGGGGUACUCGAGCGGCGAACGGGUGAGUAACACGUGAGCAACCUGCCCUUAGCUUCGGGAUAGCUCCGGGAAACCGGAAUUAAUACCGAAUAUGACUUUGGCUGACAUCAGCAGAAGUGGAAAGUUUUUCGGCUAGGGAUGGACUCGCGGCCUAUCAGCUAGUUGGUGAGGUAACGGCCCACCAAGGCGACGACGGGUAGCCGGCCUGAGAGGGCGACCGGCCACACUGGGACUGAGACACGGCCCAGACUCCUACGGGAGGCAGCAGUGGGGAAUAUUGCGCAAUGGGCGAAAGCCUGACGCAGCGACGCCGCGUGAGGGAUGAAUGCCUUCGGGUUGUAAACCCCUUUCAGCAGGGACGAAGCGAAAGUGACGGUACCUGCAGAGAAGCGCGGCUAACUACGCGCCAGCAGCCGC